AUGGUACCCACUGGGUGCCGCCAUCACUCAUAUGGUACCCAUUGGGCGCCUCCAUCACACAUAUGGUACCCACUGGGCGCCUCCAUCACACAUAUGGUACCCACUGGGCGCCUCCAUCACACAUAUGGUACCCACUGGGCGCCUCCAUCACACAUAUGGUACCCACUGGGCGCCUCCAUCACACAUAUGGUACCCACUGGGCAUCUCCAUCACUCAUAUGACACCUAUUGGUGCCUCCAUCACACAUAUGGUACCCACUGGGCGCCUCCAUCACACAUAUGGUACCCACUGGGUGCCUCCAUCACACAUAUGGUACCCACUGGGUGCCUCCAUCACUCAUAUGGUACCCACUGGGCGCCUCCAUCACACAUAUGGUACCCACUGGGUGCCUCCAUCACACAUAUGGUACCCACUGGGUGCCUCCAUCACACAUAUGGUACCCACUGGGUGCCUCCAUCACACAUAUGGUACCCACUGGGUGCCUCCAUCACACAUAUGGUACCCACUGGGUGCCUCCAUCACACAUAUGGUACCCACUGGGUGCCUCCAUCACACAUAUGGUACCCACUGGGUGCCUCCAUCACACAUAUGGUACCCACUGGGUGCCUCCAUCACAUAUAUGUACCCACUGGGCGUCUCCAUCACACAUAUGGUACCCACUGGGUGCCUCCAUCACUCAUAUGGUACCCACUGGGUGCCUCCAUCACUCAUAUGGUACCCAUUGGGCAUCUCCAUCACUCAUAUGACACCUAUUGGUGCCUCCAUCACAUAUAUGUACCCACUGGGCGUCUCCAUCACACAUAUGGUACCCACUGGGCGUCUCCAUCACUCAUAUGGUACCCACUGGGUGCCUCCAUCACACAUAUGGUACCCACUGGGUGCCUCCAUCACACAUAUGGUACCCACUGGGUGCCUCCAUCACUCCUAUGGUACCCAUUGGGCACCUCCAUCACACAUAUGGUACCCAGUGGGCAUCUCCAUCACCCAUAUGACACCUAUUGGUGCCUUCAUCACACAUAUGGUACCUACUGGGUGCCUCCAUCACUCCUAUGGUACCCACUGGGAGCCUCCAUUGCACAUAUGGUACUCACAGGGCACCUCCAUCUGGGCCAGAUCCCCUACGGAGAUCCCAAGUCACGUAAUUCUCAUGAGGCCAAGAAGGAAAGCCUUCCUUCCCUCUCACAUCUGGACAAAUGUCCCCUUCACCCGUCUCUCUCUCCCUCUCUCAAUUUGUCUCUCUCUCUCCUCUCUUUCCUUCCUAUCUCCGUCUUCUGCGUCUUUCCCCCCUCCUCCUGCUCUCUGUGCCUAGACUCCCACAUCAAGCUCACUCCUUCCAUGCACACACACACACACACACGUGUGCACACCCAUGCACGGGGACCACCUGCUGCUCACACAUGGCCUCCAGCUAAGACUCCGGUCCCCCUGCACGGCUUUUUCCAAACCUCAAAACCUGGAGUAGAUCCGAGCCCUUCAGAAAUGCUUGCCCAUCUACCUCCAAACGAAUUCCAAAACCCCACUUACCCUUGUGCAUUUUGA
rnacentral:lncRNA from 1 species